GGGUGGGGUGGAGGGGAGAGCCUCCUGUCCGCCCAGACUGGCUCCUGUGUUCAGGUUUACCGUGUGGUCAAGCCUCGAAGAAGGUCAGUGUGAGGUUCAACUGGAAACAGAGCCGGCUUUCAGGCCCUGAGGAAUCCACGCGAGGGUCCAUCAGGGCUGCCUGCGGGGUUGGGGAUUGAGGAUUAUCAAAGAAAAAGGGGGAUUGAAACCUAGCAGGACCCUGCAGAGAUCUCCCAGGUAUCUUUGAAUUGUUGUGCAGGAAGUAAGACCCUUAUCCAGGUGGAGGGCAAGCUGAGCACAAGCAGGUACAUCCCAGACUGGCUGGAACCAGAAGAUGGGGAAACUGAGGCACAGAGAAGCAAAGUGAUCUUCCCAGAGCCACACAGCCAGUGGGUGGUAGGGCCAGGCUCCAAACCCAGGUCUUUCUGAGCCCCGAGCCCACUGCACCAUCUUGCCUGGUGAAUAUGUGUUGGUGUUGCUGGCUGCGGGAGGAGGCCCGACUCAGUAAGUGAGUGCUAUCACAUAACAAGCAUCAACAGAUCCUCCUGGCCUCACAGAGACGUUCCAAGGGAAAACAUGACUUCUGAGUUUCCUUGUUGAUUAGUGCCUUUCAACAUCCUGCCUUUGCACAGGUGCAAACCAUUUUCUUGUCAAUGACUCUAAGUUGCGCUAGUUGCCUGUGAGACGUGCAGGGUUGCCCGGCCCUGUAAUGAGGACUUAACAUUCCUAGACAUCUGAGGUACCUGGGACAUUAAUGCUCCACCACCACAGGUCUGCCGGCAGAAGUUCAGCCAAAAGGUAGGAAGGGAGGGGAGGGAGUCUGACAAAGGGUAUAGAACGCAGACACAUUUUCAUUCAUUUCUCCGAGGCUGCCCAUAGGUUCACAGGGAUCUCCUGUGUUUGUUCCUUUAUCAGACCUGGGCUUGGGAAACACUGCUGCUAAUUCACUCGAGUUCCUGAAGUUCACCUUCUGGAUUUUAGGGUCCUCAUCACACUGUAUUGUAAGCACUGAUUUUCUUUUAUUGCCCCCACUGGACAGAGCUUCUUGCAAACAGAGACUGGCCCUCAUUCACUUUGCUAUCUUCCUAGCCUAGGCCAGGGCCUGGCACAUGGUCUGUGUCUAACACAUGCUUGCUGGUCCCCUCUACCACGCCGCCACACAGCUCUCUCUGGAUGCUCUUCUCUGAGAGAAAUGUAGCCUUCCCUUUCUCUACCCAGCUCAGAUGUCACCUCCUGCAGAAGCUUCCCCAAGUCUCUCAAAUCAAAAGGGCUCAACAACUUUGCAUGUUGUCCCCUCUCCUCUCAAGAAGCUCAGUCUGGUAGGUGGGGGUUUAGAAAAGCAAGCUAAUGUGUACAGUGUACUGUGAUGCUUGACAGACUUUAAAUGGGCAAAGGAUCACUGCGUGUUCAUUCAGUGGAGUGCUCUGAGUUGUCUAGGAUUCCAAGCUGUCUGAUUCUCUAGGGAACUAACUGCACAUUUGAUUAUCUUUCGCUGGGCUGUUUUAUAACUUUGCUGUGAUGGAAGUUAACUUGUACAGGGCUGAUGAUGGCGCAGAUGUUUCCUGCCUGAUGUGUGAUGCAAAUUGUUCCUGUUCGUGGCAAUGCAAAUGAGUUUUGUCCAGUAGAGAAUAAGUCUCCAUAAGUCCAAUUCUCAUUUGAAAGUUGUAAAAUCUUACUGGUUCUUUCCUUUUUUUUUUUUUCCAAUUCAAUUACUUAUUUUAGUAAAUGAGUAAGAAAUAGAAAAUUUUAAAUAUAGAUAUUUGUGUCUUUUUACAUUUUAUUUUAUUUAAAUUUUUAUUGGAGUAUAGUUGCUUUCCAAUGUCUUAGUUUCUACUGUACAGCAAAAUGAAUCAGCCACACACAUACAUACAUCCCCUCCUUUUUGGAUUUCCCUCCCAUUUAAGUCACCACAGUGCAUUAAGUAGAGUUCCCUGUGCUAUACAGUAUGUUCUCAUGAGUUGUCUAUACUGGUUCUUUCCUUAAUUAAUGAGUUAUAUAAACAUGUUAAUUUUAUUUCUGUAUGAGAGUCAUGAUUUUACCAUUUUGCAAAUUAUGUUUCAGUGGUAAAAACUAUGACAGAGGUAGUGAUAAUAUAUACUGAGCAUUUAUUCUGUGUCAGGAAGUAUGCUAAAGAUUUUAUAGUUGUCGUAUUUAAUCCUCACAGCAACCCUAUAAGGUAAGUUCUAUUUAUUAGUCCCAUUUUACAGAUAUAGGAACUGAGGCCUAGAGGUUAAGUAACUUGCUUAAGGACCCAGAGUUAAUAAGUGGUCUAUCUGGACUUUGUACCCAGAGACCUGGGAUUUGACACUAAGAUUCAUAUUCUAACUGCACUGUCACCAUAAAGGCACUCAGAAAUAAAUUGGGGCAGCCACUGUGGAAAACAGUAUGGAGAUUUCUCAAAAAACCAAAAAUAGAACUACCAUAUGACCCAGCAAUUCCACUCCUGGGUAAAUAUCCAAAAAACAAAACAACAAAACAAAAAACAACACUAAUUUGAAAAGAUACGUGCACCUCAAUGUUCAUAGCAGCAUUAUUUACAAUUGUCAAGAUAUGGGGACUUCCCUGGCAGUCCAGUGGUUGAGACUCUGUGCUUCCACUGCAGGGGACUCGGGUUUGAUCCCUGGUCAGGGAACUAAGAUCCCCCAUGCUGUGUGGUGUGGCCAAUAAAUAAAUAAAAUAUGGAAGCAACCAAAGUGUCCAUCAACAGAUGAAUGAGUAAAGAAGUGGGUGUAUAUAUAUGCAAUGGAAUACUACUCAGCCAUUAAAAAGAAUGAAAUUUUGCUAUUUGCAGCAACACGGAUGGAAUUGGAGGGCAUUAUACUAAGUGAAGUGUCAGACAAAGACAUACUAUAUGUUAUCACUUGUAUGUGGAAUGUAAAAAUUACAACAAACUGGUGAAUAAAACAAAAAGAAGCAGACUCAGAGAUAUAGAGAACAACCUAGUGGCUACCAGUGGGGAGAGGGGCAAUAUAGGUGUAGGAGGAAGAAAAAGGGUUGCUAUGGGAUUAUAUGAGAUCAUGUGUGUGAAACUUUUGAAAAUUUUAAAGCACUAUAGAAUUUAAAGAAUCAUUCAUUCAAUUAAAAGAACAAAACAGAUCAGUGGGAAAAAAAACAAAUUGGGGAAUCAGAGAAGUCCUCCUGGUAAAAGGAGACAUGAAGCAAGUUUCAAACGGUGGAUAGGAGUUGGUGCAGAGGAGAAAGGAGGGAGGGGUUUCCUGGCAGAAGUCAGCACGUAGGAAGGCAGGGAAGUCUGAAAUAAGGUCCUGCACUUAAGGAACUAAGAAAUUCACCUGGGGCUUCCCUGGUGGUGCAGUGGUUGAGAAUCCACCCGCCAAUUUGGGGGGCACGGGUUCAAGCCCUGGUCCGGGAGGAUCCCACGUGCUGCGGAGCAACUAAGCCCAUGCGCCACAACUACUGAGCCUGCAUGCUACAACUACUGAAGCCUGCAUACCUAGAGCCCGUGCUCUGCAACGAGAAGCCACUGCAAUGAGAAGCGUGUGCACCACAACAAAGAGUAGCUCCUGCUUGCCGCAACCAGAGAAAGCCCACGCGCAGCAACAAAGACCGAACACAGCCAAAAAUAAAUAAAUAAAAUAAAUUUAUUAAGAAGAAAAAGAAACUCACCUGGGCUGGAGAGCGGGGUGUGGGCUGAGUAUUGGCAGAAGAAGACUGCAGAGGUAUGUGGGAGCUCAUCAAGAAGGGCCCUAUGGGUCAGGCUAAGGAGUUGGGACUUUAUUCUCAAACUACAGGAUUUAAAGCAGAGUGAGUGAUUAGAUGAGUUUUAUUAUUUUUAUCUUUAUUGCCUUUAUUUGAAGUUAUAAAAGCAGCUGAAAAAUCUGGCCGUUUUAGAAAAAUCAUUUUAGAAGCAGUGUUGAGGCUGCAUUGGAGGUGGUGAGAAAAGACAGGGAGGAUGUUAAAAACCAAGUCUAUGGCAGGGAAAAAGAAAAAGCAUUGCAAGGAGAAACAGUGUGUACAGCAGUUCAAUCUAUACAUUCGGGCAACCGAUGAGGUACGUGGAGGUGGGAAUGGGGAGAGGCUGGGACGCAGGUAGUUUACAGCCCUCCAAAGCUCAGAACUCCAUCUACUGCAGGCCUGUUUAUGCUCAUUCUUAGCAUUUGAGAAACAAGAUAGUACUUAGGAUUUAAAAGGAAAAGGGUUCUUCCCAUUCUGAAAAGCAUAUGUAAAUAGGGCCUGACACAAAAGUACCCAGGCACUUUUCUUUUAGCCUCAAGGGAAAAAAAAUGAGUUAGGAAAAUAAAGAUAAAACACAAUGACAAGAAUUAUUAUAAACCUUCUCUUAAUAAUUACAGACAUACAGAUUGUCAGCACACCAGGUGAUUUUUAAUCCCAGCCCAGUUCCCCUCCUGGCUUCUUAAUGGCUGCUGGCCACUUCCUCUUGGGACCUGGCCAGAGUAAGCUCAGGAAAUGCAAACUUUUAAUUCUGGAAUCAGUAAAGCAUAUUAGGAAAGGAAAUCCCACAACUGAAGAAAUCACAUUAUGAAUUCCAAAGCCAAGGAAAAGGACUGUAAAUCAGAUUGUGAAUUCAUUGGAGACAGGACCAUUUGACUUAUUUUGGUGCAGGAUCCAAGUGAUUGGUUUGGUCUCUAUUCACCCUUCAAGGUUAUCCAGGAUUCAACCUCUUUCAUUCUCGUGUUUCCAAACUUCCACCCAGUACAACAUUUAGCUCUAGCAGCUGAGCUGUCUGCAGUCUUGCUUUGCACACUUCUGACAGCAGGGGUGGGGGAGGGGUGGUGCCAGCUAAAGGGUCAGUGUUUUUCAUUUAUAGCCACGUCCCUAGGAUUGUGCGUGAAUGAGAACGUACUUGAAAGGCCUUUGUACACUCUGAUGAGCUAUACAAAUAUUAUCGCAUGUUCUUUAUUGUUCUGGUUGAUGACAACUGACACUAUUUAAUUUUUAAAACUACUAUGAGCUCAAUACUGCUAUGUACUCAACUGUAUGCAGUGUACAUUCACAAUCCGCACAAUAAUUUCAUUAUGUUUCACUUACCGAAGAGGCUCAGAGAAAUUAACUUGCUAGAGUAUCUACUUUUUGUCCUUUUUAGGCCCUCCUGAGAUUGGGUUAGAGACUUCUCCAUGUGCUGGCCCAUCACAGCCCUUACUAUGCAGUCUCCCCCACUAGACUAGGAGCUGGGGGUGCCAGGAACUGCAUUCUGAUCACUGUUAUCCCUUCUAUCUAGGAAAUAGGCACAUAGAUGAUGCUCCAAAAAACACUAUUUAGGUGAAUUAAUGAAGGCUGAUCUUAUGUCCACUGCUCUUUUCUGAAUAUUGCUGUUUUCCUUAUAACUUACUGUUCACUGUCCGCUUUCCCCUACUAGAAGGUAAGAUGCAUAGAAAGACAUUUUGUUCAUGACUGGAUUCUCAAAGCCUAGAGCAAUGCUUGGGGACCUAGUAAGGGUCCAGUAAAUACCUGUUAGUAAAUAAACUAAAAUAGCUGCUCGGGCAAGCAAAUUCUACUUUUUGUGACAUCAUAGUAUUGUUUUCUGAUGCUGAUCUCAGUAAGAUAAUGUUCGACAACCGUUAACACUGUAACGUGGGUAAGUGCGGAACGCUCUGGCUUCCUGAGUUAAACAUUCACUUGCAGCUGAAUGAUGACUGCAAGGGGAACCGCAGGAAUGCUGUCCCCAAGAGCACCGUCUCAGGAAGGAGACACUGGUGGUUGACACAGGCAGCCCGUGGACUCUACACUCUACAGCUUUGGUCCAGCACCAGCGAAAUCACGGCUAGAGACCACUGUGCUCUUGACUUCCAUCUCAUUCACCUUCCUUUCACCAGAUGCAAUUCUUGAAGCAGAAAAAUAAAACCUGUUUGUAAUAAUUAUCAGCUUCAUCUUCUUAGGAGUCAUGUGUCUCUUGCCAGAACUCUUCUAGAUCAAAGGUACUGCUGUUUUUUCCUCUCUGUAAACCAGUAUUAUGUGCUCCAUUAAAUAUUUUCUUGUAGUAUAAAAGUAACCAUGACAUCAAGAAACUUUAGAAUGUGGAAAAAAUAUAGAAAAAAGUUACCUCUAAAUUUACCAGGCUCACGAAAUUAGUAUAUUUGUUUAUGUCCUUUAUCCCCUGUGCACAUGUAUAUAUGUAUUAUGCACACACACACACACCAUGGUAGUUUGUGUUCUGCCUUUUUCAUUUAACAUUGUGCUGUGAUUAUAUCAUAAGGACUUCAUAACCAUCUGUUUAAAUAGUUAUUGAUACAAGAAAUUGAUAAUUUCAAAGGAACAAUUUUCUUAUAUAAAUUCCAAGUCUGGAAUUCUUAGGGAAAAGAUGUGAACUCAUGGUAUUUGACACAUAUUAUGAAAUUGCUUUGCCAAUAUUGUUGUACCAAUUUAUUGAGCCACCAACUGAUGAUAAUUUAUAAUUUAAGUCAUGUUAUUGAUAUAGUAGAGAAAAAUAAAAAUCUCAUCAAUCUUUCAGUUUACCUUUAAGAACAUUGCUAAGGACAAAGGACUUUAAUCAUGAUUGGUUACUAGUUACAUUUCUGCUCUUUAAGAAUCAUCACAAAUAUUGAGGGGAAAAGAUUAUCAGUUACUAAUCAGGUGUCUUCCUUGUGGAGGCAGUGUACAAAGAGCAAGGGCUUUGGGAUUCAAAUCCACCUUACUUAAAGAGCCGGGACAUAUAUGCAACAACCUCAUGAGGUGUUAGUUUCCAUUCAUUUCCAAACAAAGACCAUUACAUUUGUAAGACUAAACGGAGGAUCUGAUCCAACAGGACAGUUUUUGAUCAUUUAGCUAAUAGUCUUAUCUUUAAGAGUCACUCCCUUAGAGCUAUCCUCUGCAUGUAAGGCUCCACCCACCUUGGAAAUUAGAGGAGCUCAAUUUUUUCCCAGGUACCACUUUUCUUUGAUUUUUUUUUAAUAGUCAGGUGCCUACCCUUAUUAAGCCCUUACUUAACACAAGCUGUCACAUAUCAACUAACCUUCAUGACAACCCUAGUGGGGGAUGGUACUAAUUAUUAAUACCUUACGAAAGAAAACAUCUGAUGCUUAACCCUAGCAGUCUAUAUCGUUAAGCAACCGGUAGGCUGUAGCUAUUCCAGUCUCCUCUAGCAAGUCAAGGUAAAAGUCAGCAAAAAGUAAGUAAAUCAGUGCUGUUCAGCUGAGGAGAAAGAUACU